UUCCUUUUUUCGAAUUGAAAAAUAAAUAAAGUAGGGUUUAAUUUUACUGUUGUUUGAUUUAGUCCUCAGCACCAUUCAUGUUAUUUUUACUCAUUCACUACCCGAUAAAUAAAACCCAUAUUUUAAUUUUUUUUUAAUUUUAUGGAUUUUGGUGUGAUUUUGGUUUUUGAUGUUUUCUCGGUGAUUGACUUCUUUGGCGUUUAAAUUUUAUGUUUCCUCAGCGAUUGAAUUCUGGGUUUUUAGCCGUCCCCAAUUUUAGUCGACCCGGGCAGCAAAGGGAGUUUGCCCCUGUUUGCUUUCGUUUUCUCACUAGAUAUCUCUGCCAGCAUGAUCCGCCGAACUCGCUGAUCGCGUCUGCUUUCGCGGACUAGGUCACUCCCUAGAAGGCUGAUUAACACCAGCAACCACAACACCAACAAUGACUACUGCAGCUUAGCCUUUGUGGCUAACGGAACUUCAUCGCUUCUGAAGUUGCAGGUGAGGAUUGCAAGGUUUUUUCGUUUCUCUGGUAUUGAUUCAUCGAGUUUGCAUGUGGCUUAAAAUGGUGUUUCAGUUGCGAGGAACAACACAUUUACAAAGUAUAUUCAAGAAUGCUAUUGAAUUUGGGAGAAAGCUUGCAUGCAAACUCUUUGUUUGCAUAUUGUUCUUGAUCCCGGCAGAAAGCACGUGCAGACUUGCAGCAGAUGCACUAUGCAUCUUGAGAAGCUGAGCGAUAUGCAGUCCCAACUUGAGUCACAGCUGAAGUUCAUACAGAGGUCUGGCUACAGAUAGUUGAUUGUAGGCGAGUACUAAAAUUGACAUAUGCCGAUGGAUGUUAUUUGCUGGAGCAUGAACAUGCCAAGUUGUUUUGAGUACUUGCAAGGUAUGUCAUUUUCUCAAUCUCAAAUAGACAAUGCGCAGAAAAUGAGCUACAAGUUUACCUGAAUGAUAAGGACAUCAAAAGAUUUCAUUGAGUUUCGCACAAAACUUGCUGGAUUGACCAGGUUAUGUUCCACUACAGAUAUUACACUACUUUUCUGAUUGGAUAAGUUGAUUCGGGUUACAAUGAUAUAGCUUUUCAGUUUAUUCAUACUAAGAUAUUAGUUUUUUUAAGUGGGAAUGCCAUGAUUGAAAUUUUAUAGAAAUGAUGAAUGGGCCAAUCUGAAAUACCAAAUUUCAGCUGAUGAACUCACUCUUAUAUGACUAUUACUGCAUAUACUCAUCUUUUAUUUUGUUGGGUUUUAUUUUUAUUUCAUUUUUUUUUUGGUUUCGCAAAGAACUGAAUUUUAUCUUAUCUAUAGCUCUAUACGCAUGUAGUUUUUCUCUUUUUGGGUUUCGAGUAUUUGGUUGGUUUUAUUUAACAAUCUUUUGGAAUAUAGAGAAACUUUGCACCAAUGUCUUAUUCCUGAAUCUCCUGAUGAUUUGGCAUUGAGAUGUUAAGCAAAGGUGUCCCAUGGGAACCACAGAUUGCUUGAAACUAUCUCAAAGAAGUGGAGAGAUUUGUCUCCAGACUAUGCCAACUAUGAAGCUUUAGAAAAAUGGUGCGGAAAUUGGCUGUUUGUCAUUGAUGAGGUGGAUAGGGUUCAUUUUGCAAAGUACAAAAUUGCAUUCACACUUUAGUCUUGGUGUAAAGCAAUAAUUGGCGUAUUGAUUUCAACUCAUCGUGUGCUUUGUUUCUUUGAAGCCUUUGGGUUCAGCUUUGAUUUGCAGAGGAUGACAUAAAUUUGUAUCUUUUUUUAGAUGGAGGUUUGUUUUGUGAUAUGUGACUGGAUUCGUGGUGGUUCAUGAAUGGGUUAGGCUUGGUGUUUCUGUACUUGAGUUUUUGUGCGGUCUUAGUGUCGGCUAUUUUGUUGUUGUCAUUUCUUUUUCGUGUGGUCAUUAACUUUGUGAUUUCUUUGUUGUAGUUGUUGCUAUUAGUGAUGGUGGCUGAGGUGUUCGUUUCUUGGUGUUAAAACUCGGGUAUCCCGUUCUUUUGGUCAAUAUUAUUUGUUCUUUGGAGGUGUGAUUCACGGGAUUUGCAGUCUGGGUCUCUGUUUCGCGUCCUUGGUUUUAUUGGACAUUAUAAAAUUUGUGCAAUUGUUAUAUAGGCAUGCAAGACAGGGUGGAAAAGAUAGCAAAAGUACAAAUGGUUGUUAAACUCUCCAUGACUUCCUUUCAGACCAUGGGUGAAUGAAUUGUGGAUCUUUUAUAGUUUUGUGUCUUUUUUUCUUUUUGUAGUUUUGUGGGAGUUUCUGAUAUGUCAUUGAAAUUCCCUUUUGAUAGGAUAAAUGUAAACUGUGCGCCCAACUCCUGUUAAUCAGUUAAGACCAUACAUAAAGGCGGACAAAAUCAAAAUUCGCAUAUACAGGAUUUGAAAAUUGAUGAUUCUAGGAACUGUUCAAAAGUAUACAAACCUGCACUGUAUAUUGGUUGAUGAUUCCAGUACUAGUUCGUCUCUGUUUUUUAUUGACCCAAACAUCCCCGAAGUGAAUAUGUAUGAGUCAGUGUUUUGUGAUUGUAAAGAAGCUCUGGAAAUAGUCUCCCUCUGCAAUCCAAGAAAACGAAGCUCAAAUUUUGCAGACUGCUAAAAAAGUUUCAAUCGAUGAAUUGGCUUUUUUGGAUCCAGAUUUUCAUAAGGAACAUAACGUUUAUUUUUUGUGUUUUCUUAAAAUCUUACCAUUGCAUUUUGACCUUUUUAAUGAAACUGAAUUAUGUUGUUCUUGUUACGGCUAUGUGACAAAAUAUAUCACAGGAUGAUACAUUUGUGUGUAGAGCAUCUGUCAAGCGUUUUGACACGCGGUUCAACUGGUGGUACAGUACUGCAUGAAACAGAUGCACAAGGAUUCAACCAUUGGGCAGCUCAUUUGUCAAAAACAUCCAAACCAAAUUCCAACGCCGUGGUAAUGUUAAACUAAAUAUUUGAAGCAAGGCUAACAAAAAAUUUACUCUUUCUUGAUACCAUAGCAUGUUGUUUGUUCUCAUUAACCAAUUGAGAAAAAUAAAUAUAGAUAGGGUUAUUCA